GGCGUAGGGUCCAAGCGUUGUCCGGAUUUACUGGGCGUAAAGAGCGCGUAGGCGGCUUGUUAAGUGUGGUGUGAAAUCUCCAGGGCUCAACCCGGAAACUGCACCGCAUACUGGCUAGCUUGAGUGAUGCAGAGGUUUGUGGAAUUCCUGGUGUAGCGGUGGAAUGCGCAGAUAUCAGGAGGAACACCAAUAGCGAAGGCAGCUCGCUGGGACGGUAACUGACGACUAAGGCGCGAAAGCGUGGGGAGCGAACAGG
rnacentral:rRNA from 1 species